UGGGCACGUGGCGCAGUUGGUAGCGCGCUUCCCUUGCAAGGAAGAGGUCAUCGGUUCGAUUCCGGUCGCGUCCAU